GGGGAAUAAAGGAAUAAAGGGCUCGUCAGUCCAACCACGUUGAAAACUUGGACUUCUCAGCUGAAAAUCCGGGUUNNNNNNNNNNNNNNNNNNNNNNNUCAGCAGCGCAAAUACUGUCAGAUCCGAGGGCUUGAGGCUACUUCUCUGUGGCCUGACGCCCUGCUGUCCACGCCUUCAGCUCCCCCAGCCUCGGCCUUUGUGCCCAAGGCUCUGCCCUUGGAGUCUUUUGUCCUUUUUCUUGACAGGUAGCAUAUGUUUGAAGCUGAGUCGCUCUGUCACCCCAUUUCCUGCCUGUAGAACCCCAGAAUUCCAGCAGCUUUCCCUCAUUUCAUCCUGUCUCUGUCCUCUUCUGUCCCAGCUGGCAGCACUUCUGCUGAUACCACAUUCUCAGGCGCCUUGUGGGUCUCCCACGUGUGUCCCAGGGAUCCACGUUGCUGGGUAAGAGGCUUCUCCAGAGACCUUUCGGGAUGACCCCUCCCUGUCCCUAGCUUGUGCUGAGGUUGUUGAAUGGUUCUUUGAAAAAGUGUCCAGUGGACGCCUUGGCACUCUCUCCAGAACGCACCCUGACACGAGUCUCCCCACGUCAGUAGCUUCCGCCGCCUGAACGGGCUGCGGGUACCCGGAGCACCUGUGCUGGUUCCUUCUCUGCCAACAUUUCCUUCCACAAUUAACCUCUUUCCUCCUGCACUUUGCAACAAGGAACAAGAAAAAAACAGGUCCUACCUUUUGCGCUUUGGGGGAAUCUUUUUAGGGCCUCACCUGCGGCAUAUGGAGUUUCCCAGGCUAAGGGUAGACUCAGAGCUACAGCUGCCGGCUUACACCACAGCCACAGCAAUGCCAGAUCCGAGCCACAUCUGUGGCCUACGCCACAGCUCAUGCAACACCCAAUCCUUAACCCACUGAUCGAGGCCGGGGAAUGAACCCCCAUCCUCAUGCAUGCCAGUCGGAUUCGUUUCCACUGCGCCGCAAAGGGAACUCCCAGGUUCAUCACUUAUAAACUGCACUUGCCACCCCGCAGUGGAACACUCGACGUUCAGCCAAGUUUUCUGCCAGAGUUUAAUACACAUCACCUUUCCUUCAGCUUCUGGUGACAUCUCCGAUUGGACCCCUAGCCUGGGAGCCUCUAUAGUCCAUGGGUGCGGCCCUAAAAAGGCGAAAAAAAAAAAAGGAAAACCUAGAAUCAUGUUUGCAUUGGCUCGACGUUCUAUGUAAAGGAAUUGCAGAGGGAUAAACAGGAAGCCAGUAAUGACAGUGACUUCCACUGUGCAGGGCUGGGGAGGCGACAAGCCAGUAGGACCUUCACUGCUGGGGUGGGGGGUUCCUGCUCAAACACAAUCUUUUUAAAAAGUUUCCAAGUUAUUUGCAAGGUAUUAGCGGCGCCUGGAAGGUCUCAGGCCCUACACCUGCCAGCACCCAGUGCUGUGAUUCCAGGCAAACAACAGAACCUCACCGAGCCGAUACAACAUCAUGUGAUCAGUAAAGGAGGCAAUUAUUAACUGCGGUGGCCAGUGGGGCGGGGUCGCAGCUCCAGCCCCACCGAGGGUCCCCUGCCAGCGGGGGUGUGGUGAUGUUGCAUCUGGCGACAUGAAGCUCCUGCAUCUGGUUCUUGCGCUUGCAGACCUUUCUGCACUGAAGUUCGGGCUGAUUUUUAUUAUGUUAAUCCAAGGUAGUUUAUAUCCUGUGUUGUGAACAUUAAAAAUAUUAAGCAGGAGUUCCCGUCGUGGCGCAGUGGUUAACGAAUCCGACUAGGAACCAUGAGGUUGUGGGUUCGAUCCCUGCCCUUGCUCAAUGGGUUAAGGAUCCGGCGUGGCCGUGAGCUGUGGUGUAGCUCGCAGACACGGCUCGGAUCCUGCGUUGCUGUGGCUGUGGGGUAGGCUGGCAGUGACAGCUCUGAUGAGACUCCUCGCCUGGGAACCUCCAUAUGCC
rnacentral:lncRNA from 1 species